UUUAAUCAUACUAUAUCGUGUAUUUUUUAAACUAAUGUGGUUCGUUUUAAUUCCCUCUUAAAUGUAAAAGACAGAUUAAAUCAGAAUGCAUUUUUGUUUUAAAAACAGAAACUGAUACAAAAUUUAUGAUCAAAACUUAUGUCACGCUGAAAAUUGACCCGUUUCUUGUUAUGUUAUUCCCUAUGUAAUACAAAUGAUUAAACCCCUAAGCGGAAAAACGAUUACACUCUCUCAAGUUCGCACUGAAAAAACAACAGGAAAAAUUCUUUUCCAUUAAAACAAAAAAAAAAAGAAAAAAUUAAUAAUAAUAAUAAGGUUCUGACUUAGCGCUAGAAGGCGAAACUAAAACCAGUUUUUAAGAAGAUAGUUGGAAGACUGGCCCAGAUGUUUGAUUGAAUCGGUAAGGAAAGAUUGAGAAUGAGUAAUAAAGAAAUUAGGUAUUCUUUUUAUUUCAAGAAUUAGUUGAUCUACGAUAAUCAUUAGUUGAUUGUCGAUAAUCCAUCGAAUACCAUUUUCACAUUUUCGACAGUAAUCAUGUCACUAGGAUUUAAACUUUGUAGCGCAGCAAUAUUGAUAUCAUGGCUCAUUUUUCUCCUCACAUCAUCGCCUGGUUAUAUUGAGGCUGGCCCAAACAGUAAUAUAUCCGCCUGUCACUAUUGCGAUGAUGAUGUCGAUUUUUCUGUCCGAAACCUUAUUUGUUGCUCACUCACUAGCAGAUGUUGCGGUGACUGAAAAGAUUUCCAAAAGUAUGUUUCUUAUGAAAUACUUUUUAAAAGUGAGAAGGGAUGUUGAUGUUGUUUAUGUAUAAAUUAUUGAAGCCAAAUGUUAUGUAAAAUUAAUCAAAAUAAAUUGUAUUAUGAUGAAAUGUA